CUCUUAUCCCGAGCUGGUGGAGGGACGGGCCCAAUGAAACCCAGCAACCGGCCUCUAGAAAAGCAAUAUGGCUUAUUCUAGGCAAAGGUGCUAACCUGUGGCAAGGAAACCCCCUUGAACGAUAAGAG
rnacentral:ncRNA from 2 species